AUGAACAUUCAAGUAAAAGAAUAUAAGGCAGAGAACUCAGGUCAGUGGUCUGAAAUUCUGGACCUGUUCAGAGAUAACCAGAGAAAGUCAGAGAGUUUGGACGUGAACUUUAAAGCAACACCCAGGAAACAGAAGUCUACUGAAUACAAGAUACUUGUCUUUGCUGGUGUCUCAUCCUUACUUGUAGCAAAUUUCGAGUAUGUGUUAAUUGCGAUUGGCAACCUCUCCAGAUUGCUGUUUUCUUUGCAAGCUGCACAAGGCCCACAUGGAAGCGCUACAUCUAAGGGACCUGCAGUUGGCAUUGAUCUUGGCACCACCUCCUAUGGUGUGGGUGUCUUCCAGCAUGGGAAAGUGGAAAUAAUUGCCAACGAUCAGGGAAACUGAACCACCCCAAGUUGUCACUUUUACUGAAAUCAAACGAUUGAUCAGCAAUGCUGCAAAGAAUGAAGUUGCAGUGAACCCCACCAACACAGUUUUUGAUGUCAAAUGCCUGAUCGGACAUAAAGUCGGUGAUGCUCUUGUCCAAUCUGAUAUGGAGCAUUGGCUCUUCAUGGUGGGGAAUGAUGUUGGCAGGCCCAAGGUCUAAGUAAAAUACAAGGGAAAGAAGAGGUGUCCUCUGUGGUUUUGACAAAGAUGAAGGAAAUCACAGAGGCUUAGACAGAAAGGUUGGAGCUGAAAGGAAUGUGCUCAUCUUUGAUGUAGGAGGUGGCACUUUUGAUGUCUCAAUCCCCACCAUUAAAAUGGGAUAUUUAAGGUCAAAUCUACAGCUGGAGACACCCACUUAGGUGUAGAAGACUUUGACAACCGAAUGGUCAACCAUUUUAUUGUGAAGUUCAAGUGCAAACAUAAGAAGGACAUCCACAAGAACAAGAGGGCAGUCCAUCACCUCCAGACUGCUUACGAGUGUGCUAAGCAUACAUUGUCUUCCAGCAAUGAGGCCAGUAUUGAGAUUGAUGCUCUGUAUGAAGGAAUUGACUUCCAUACCUCUAUGACUUGUCCCCGAUUUGAAGAAUUAAAUGCUGACCUGCUCUGUGGCACCCUGGACCUUAUAGAGAAAGCCCUUUGGGAUGCCAAGCUACACAAGUGUCAGAUCAAUGAUAUUGUCCUGGUGGGUGGUUCUAUCCAUAUCCCCAAGAUUCAGAAACUUCUGCAAGACUUCUUCAAUGGAAAGGAACUGAACAAGAGCAUCAGCCCUGAUGAGGCUGUUGCUUCUGGUGCAGCUGUCCAGACAGCCAUCCCUUCUGGAGACAAGUCUGAAAAUGUUCAGGAUUCCCUGCUGUUGGAUGUCACUCCUCUUUCUCUUGGCUUUGAAACUGCUGGAGGAGUCAUGACUGUCCUCACCAAGUGCAAUACUACCAUUCCUACCAAACAGAUGCAGACCUUCCCUACCUACUCUGACAACCAGCCUGGUGUGCUCGUUCAGGUUUAUGAAGGUGAGCGUGCCAUAACCAUGGAUAACAACCUACUUGGGCGUGCCCAGCCACAUUUUGAACUAAUAAGUCCUAAAUGUGGGACUGACAUAGGCAUUAAUGAAAAGGUAGUUGGUGAAGCCAAGAAAGUCCUUGAAGACAUGACUUUGCCAGAUAAGAGACAAAGUGCCAAAGAGUUUGUUUCAGACAGCUGGAUGCUGUUACCUCUGAUCCAAGGAAUGGUUCUUGCCCCGAAGUGGGUUUCAGAAUCUCCCAGAAGACUUAUUAAACACAGAUUGGUUGGCCCCAACUCCAGAGUUUCUGAUCCACAAGGAGGCCCAGAGCCCAGCCUCAGUGGUGGCAUCAGCCUUUAUGAUGUGCUCAUCCCAACUUGUGUGGUCUCAGCUCUCCGGCUGAACCUCACAUUCUCAGCCACCAUUCCACAAAAGGGCCCAACGGUACUGAUGGUAUCUGCCCAAGAACUUAAAGAAACUCACAUCGAGUUUCAGAGGAAGCCUAUCCAGCUGAGGCAGACCUCAGGUCUCAUGGAUGCCUCUUAUGGUGGAGGAACUAAACUCCUGGAGCUGCAGAACCCCUCGCUAAUGCCACACCUCACGAACUCCUGGACACAGUUGUCGUUCCUGGUGGUUUAUCUCUCCUCAAAUAUUGUGUUGUGGCAAAAUAUGCCCUAUGAUGGGCACUGCUGA